rnacentral:lncRNA from 13 species
CCGGUUCGUGACAGCACAGAUGAAUUUACUAUUAUGUAGUCACAUGACACACUUAUGCGCGAGCACACGUACAUAUAUGCACACAUACAAAAACACACACUCUUACCCACCACGUCCUCUGUAUUUUGUGUCUUUCCUGUCACAUAAACACAUUUGUGAAUAAUGAGACAAUUUGUCACUUGUUUGGGUUAAUGUAGGCAAGAUAAAUUAUCACAAUAACACGUAAUGCCACCUGUCAGUCUGGGUGUCCCUGUCAUUUGUUACCGUGGCUCUAGACAGCCAUUUGCACAACGCUAAUGAUGAUAUUGUGAUUCAGGGAGGGAUUGAGAGACUGUUCCCAGAACACCUAAUGACACCCAGAUGAGUGACAGGAUGGUUACUUGAACGUUUGACCUCCUACGGACUACUUUAUUACCAUGUGAUUGGCUGGGUUUUAAUACAUGCUCAUGUUUAUGUUGAAUUCUACUGGCCAUUCUCUAAAUCUGUUGAAGGGUCUGUUUGUACAAGAUGGAGUCUGUUUGUACAUGGAGUCUGUUUGUACAUGGAGUCUGUUUGUACAUGGAGUCUGUUUGUACAUGAUGGAGUCUGUUUGUACAUGAUGGAGUCUGGUUGUACAUGAUGGAGUCUGUUUGUACAUGAUGGAGUCUGUUUGUACAUGAUGGAGUCUGUUUGUACAUGAUGGAGUCUGUUU